GGAAUGACUGGGCGUAAAGGGCAUGUAGGCGGUGAAUCGCGUUGAAAGUGAAAGUUGCCAAAAAGUGGCGGAAUGCUCUCGAAACCAAUUCACUUGAGUGAGACAGAGGAGAGUGGAAUUUCGUGUGUAGGGGUGAAAUCCGUAGAUCUAUGAAGGAACGCCAAAAGCGAAGGCAGCUCUCUGGAUGCAUGGAUCUGCAUUGUGUGCUUUCGCC
rnacentral:ncRNA from 1 species